UAGCUCAGUUGGUAGAGCAUGGUGUUUGCAAUGCCAGGGUUGUGGGUUCAAUUCCCAU
rfam:Salmo salar isolate Sally breed double haploid chromosome ssa26, whole genome shotgun sequence.